rnacentral:lncRNA from 1 species
AUUUUGUUUUCGAGGUAAAAAUCUCAUUGAAAAUCUUGAUAUUCUUAUCCCAGUUUGCUUGAUUUACAACGGACACUGCCUUUUUGCGCCGCUCGUAUGUAUGAGAACUCUUCAAACAAGAACUAGAAGAAUAUUUUUAUUCACCGGUAAGAUUUUUACGGAUUUUUAUAUAUGAAUAUUUCUAGAUUCUGGCUUGCUUGAUUAAACUCGAUAGAAAUACAAAUCCCUGUAGGAAAAAUGGUUGGGAAUUCUGUAAUUUUAUUGUUCUUGUGAUUUACCACUAGCUUCUGUGUUUUCAUAUGGUUUUAAAGGCUGCUUGUGGUGUUAAAAUCCUUACUGAGCACUUAUAUAUUGAUUUAGUACUACAGACUUCAGUGUUAUAGAGAUACGGUAUAUUAAAGCAAAUUUUCCCUGACAAACUUUGAGUGAUAUAUAUGUAUAUCCUUGCCAGGUUCUUGUAGCAGUUAUUUAUAAUUUCAUACUGUGUAGUGAUAUUAAAUGUCACUUCUACAACAGGCAAACUGAAAAAUUGCUUUGCUAGGCCAAAGAUAAUGUAUCAAGUUCAAACCAUUCAAAUGAUUAUUGACCCAUUGCAAUCAAGCAAUAACCAUAAACCUCUGAAUAUCUAAGCCCCAAUGACAGACCCCAAAUAUAAGCCCUCCUGUGUAGAACGGCCACCAUAAGAAAUUCUGAAUAUAAUUAAGCCCUCUCCCAAAUUUAAGUCCCACAGUCUGUGUUAGCCAAUGGACUUAUUUUUGGACAGGUAUUUUUUAAUGCAGCAAAGGGAUCCAUUCCAACAGCUCAGCCAUCAAAAAUGCUGAUGAAUGCAUACAAGCAUUCAGAGGUUUACAUGGUACAUUCAUCUGGCCAACAUAGUUUGUCAGAGUUCUAUAAAUCCCACAGCCAUUAGAGUUGUAGUUAAGUAUUUGUAGGAACGAAGGGUGUGUACGUGCCAGCCAAUGCAUAUUCUCUCAAUCACUGCCCUUGACAUUGACCGAAAUUGUGCCCUGACAAUUAACCAAUUAAAUUGAUGAUUGAUAACAUGUUUGAGAGCAUCUUCAGUGGGAAUGUUACUGUUCCCAGUAUUGGAGUAGAGCCCAACUGUUCAGUUAGACAUUAUUUAUGAACUUUCUCUCUUAGACCUGCAUACAUUAGAUUAUUUUGAUAUAUUCUAAUGUAAAAUGAAACUUUGGGAUAGUUAAGAAAUACAAUUAGUCCAUUUAUAAUGGACAAUUGUCAUCUUGACAAGUAAAAUUUCCUGGCAUAUUAGACGGGCUUAUAAAUGCCAGAACUUAUAUAUGUAUAUUUACUGAGUGAGUCAAUUUAUUUGACAUACCAUGAUAUUAAUUAACCAUUAGGUUGCAUUGUGCCCUAAUGCACCCUACUUUAUUAUUUUACUCUGUCUAACACCAGACAGUUGUGGACUGGAGAGCCAUGCAUUAACAUAUCAAUAAUGUCUAAGUGAACAGUUUAGGCUCUGCUCUACAGUAAAUUUCCCUGUAAUCGGAGUCUGGGAUCUGUGACCCAAUACAUCUUCAGUGUCUUCAUAUGAUGCUGUCACUAUUUUAUAUGUAUAAUGGACAUUUCUCAUUCAGGGCGAAACUGAUGUAAGUCAUGUGGACAAGAAAUUAAUACAAGUUCUUUCGAAUGUGAAAAAAAAGAGUAGUGGUGCACUACCUCUUGCCAGACCUAACUGGCAGAACUAACAAUGACUUUUCUCUAUAAUUUUGUGGGAAUGUGUUAUAUUUACUCUGUACAAACAGCCAAAAAAUGAUGCAUGAGCUCUAGUUUUAAUAAUACUGUAUUAUAUAUUUUAAAAUUAUUCACUGCAUGGUC